ACCUUCCAGAUUCCUUAUCCCCCAAACCUAAACACUGGUCUGAGUGGCUAGGAAAGGAGAAAACAUUAAACAGAAACUAACAACUUCAUUUGUGACACACAGCUAGUUUCAAGCAAAC
rnacentral:snoRNA from 1 species